AGGUAGGAACACAUGCCAACCAACAAACGACCAGUGACAGCAAAUACCAACUGUAUUUCCUCAAAGAUACAGAUACUCUGAAUAGUAUUUAUCUUUGUACACCACAAGUUACUGAGAGAAGGAACUGUGAUUUCAUACAGUUGUCUAAGGACCUAGUCUAAUGGAGACCAGAUUAUCAUCUCAAUACUUUGUGAUCUCCAGAGUUCCUCAGUAUCAGGCUUCCUUGACGGUUACAUGGGGCUAUCCGUACCUCAACUUCCACAGUUCAAACAGGACCUUGCCAAUAUACCCUAUGAACUCUAAAUGCAUAAAGCUUGUGGUCUGUUCUCAUCCAUGUCACAAAAUUGUUCAGAAAAUUCAAGUUACCAGAUU